rnacentral:rRNA from 1 species
GACUACCAGGGUAUCUAAGCCUGUUCGCUCCCCACGCUUUCGUGCCUCAGCGUCAGUUAUGGCCCAGUAAGCUGCCUUCGCAAUCGGUGUUCUGUGUAAUAUCUAAGCAUUUCACCGCUACAUUACACAUUCCGCCUACCUUGACCAUACUCAAGACUAACAGUAUCAACGGCAAUUCUCCAGUUAAGCUGAAGGUUUUCACCGCUGACUUAUCAAUCCGCCUACGCACCCUUUAAACCCAAUAAAUCCGGAUAACGCUCGCAUCCUCCGUAUUACCGCGGCUGCUGGCACGGAGUUAGCCGAUGCUUAUUCCCAAGAUACCGGCAAGCCCCGACACGUCGGGGGUUUUCUUCUCCUGGAAAAGAAGUUUACGACGCAUAGCGCCUUCUUCCUUCACGCGGGAUGGCUGGUUCAGGCUUGCGCCCAUUGACCAAUAUUCCUCACUGCAGCCCCCCGUAGG